rnacentral:rRNA from 1 species
CAGUAGCCACGGUAAUACGGAGGGGGCUAGCGUUGUUCGGAAUUACUGGGCGUAAAGCGCACGUAGGCGGCUUUGUAAGUUAGAGGUGAAAGCCUGGAGCUCAACUCCAGAAUUGCCUUUAAGACUGCAUCGCUUGAAUCGCGGAGAGGUGAGUGGAAUUCCGAGUGUAGAGGUGAAAUUCGUAGAUAUUCGGAAGAACACCAGUGGCGAAGGCGGCUCACUGGACGCGUAUUGACGCUGAGGUGCGAAAGCGUGGGGAGCAAACAGGAUUAGAUACCCGCGUAGUCCCUGUCUCUUAUAC